rnacentral:tRNA from 2 species
GCCUGGUUGGCCGAGUUGGUUCAAGGCGCCGGUCUGUGGAACCGGUCAUAGACGUUCGAAUCGUCUACCAGGUACCA